CUUCAUAGCCCAGGACAUUUGGUACUCCUGCACAAUCAAAGAUCUCAGUAAAAAAAAUGCUUUUUGCAAGAUAACAAGAUUAAUCUAUGAUCUGCACUUUUACAUGGAUGAAUGUAGCACCUGGGUAGCACGAUAGGUUGCAGAACACAAUUGAGAGGGGACGCACAGACAACUGGAACUGCGUAACAGGCGAGUGGACACAACCUGAAGAGUUUAUCAACAGAAAAGAAAAACGGUCUUAACUGCUGUAGUCAUGGCUGUCCCUUGGGGAGUUUGACAGAGGCGAGGCAACCAAUUGUUCUCACAGGCAUGUAGGGUGAAGUAUCAAGGAUACAAAGACAAUGGACACAGUUGGAAGAAGGUGGGAGCUGGAAUCGAUCGGCCGAUACUUCAAUCAGUGGACGACAAGCUCAACGCUGUGUAAAACGGGUACUCACAUUUUGUACCAUGUUCAAAUUAGAAAAGUCAGUGUAUUAAAUGUCUGAAAAUUAAAAAAUAGAGGAACUAUUAAAGAAGGCAGUUGGAGUUGUUACUUUCGAAUAAGGAAAUAGACCCAUAUGCAUGGCAAAACAUACUAUUUACUCCUGUGAAUAUAUUUGAAUUUACUCUGAUGCCAUUUGUCAGGAUAAUAACCUCUUUGUGUUUUAUACGUACUUUGUAUUUUCGAAAGUUUGCUUCUUGUCAAGCCAGGAGGCGUGCACACACCUCCUACAGUAAUGGAAGGUUAAGAACAAUCUUGUAACAAAACCUAUUCUAAUGUCAAGGCCACGCUUUUGAGAUAAAUCCCACAUUGCAAAGUAAAUAAGAUAAGGAUUCUUUGAUCGCUUCAGCUACCACUUAUAAAGGUUAUCAUUCAUGAUAACUUGAUAUACAGUGAUCCCUCGCUACUUUGCGCUUCAAACAUUGUGCCCUCAGUCCAUUGUGGAUUUUUUCUUCCAAUUAAAAAAAUAAAUAAUAAAUGCAGGAUUGUUAUACUGAUGUUGCAUCUGAUCACAUACAAUCUUUCACUCUCCCUCCUGGAGCUUUUCUUUCAAACCAGGCAGCUGCGGCUUGUUAAAGUUAACGAUGAGUGACAGGAGCUGCUUUGAAGUUGCAGGAGAACUGCCUUUCAAAGACUACCGCCUCGUUUAACUUUUUAAACAUUGGCUGUUGUCGCUAUAGCAACUCAUUGGCUUGUGUGGAGAGCUGUUCUAAGCAACAUGAGUUGGUUUGAUAGGAGUCCCUCAAUGAAGAAUUUAAUAAACAAUUAUACUUUGAGGGGAAAAAAGGGAUGCUAAAUCCGAAUAAAUACAUUGAACACACACACGCAUAAAAAUGUAAAUAAACUACACCUCUACUUCGCGAAUUCGAGAAAAACGAGGGAUCAUUGUAUAUGCAGUUGACACUAGAUAGCAAGAAUUUUAUUAUGUCAUACUUAUUAAUGUAACCACUGCGAAUACAAGCAAAUUUUAGUUUUGGUUCACAAACUAUCCUAUUUGAUCAAGAUUGCUACACAGCCCCCCCCCCAGAAAUUCACUCCCAAGGACGCCAGGCAUAACCCGACCGAAUGGGAUGCCAGGCGUUGGACGACUGGACGGGACAAGGGGUCGAGGUCAAGAAACGCGGCAUGCAGUGCCACCCAGUCGAGUCUGGAGAAGAGUCGUAGUUGCUCUGCCGUGGCGACUGAUGGAAGAAACCAAGCAGAAGCAAGGGAAGCACCAAAAACUGAGUUGUAGUGAUGUCCUGGUCAUCUAGAAGCGGCGAAACAUGAGAGACAUUGUCGUCGGCGUUUGCAAGCGCUGACAGUGGAGCGACCUCGGAGACUUCCACAGGCGCUGGAGCGAUGUCAGCAGUGGCCAGAGAGACAGGUACAGGAUUGAAGUCGUCAGAAGGACCAAGAGCAGACGCCGCGUUGAUGAGAAGGCCAGGAACGGACGGCACGCUGUAGAGAAGUCCAGGAACGGCUGGGACGCUGUAGAGAAGGCCAGGGACGGAUGUGGUGCCGUCGAGAAGUCCAGGAACAGACGGGGGUUGAGAAGGCUGUCUGGAAGCACCAGAGCAGAAGCGUGCUGUGGCUGCACGGGCACUAGAACAGAUCUGGUGUUUCGGAAAGACAUGUAUUUCGAUGAACGGCAUACGUACCCACGGCAACCAGACGAGGUGGCCGAGUGGUUAAGGCGAUGGACUGCUAAUCCAUUGUGCUCUGCACGCGUGGGUUCGAAUCCCAUCCUCGUCGACUCUUUUCUCGAGGGUACGAAUCCCAUCAUCGUUGACUCUUUUCUCAAUUUAUUUUGGACACCAUUUAACUAAUUGCCAACCCGAUUUCUAACACAAGUCCGAACAUAUCCUAAUUAAGAUCCUAACACAGCUCCGGGUUAAGAGCCAAUCAGGAGAGCGGCUGGGAUGAUUGCGUCAAAUGCUGCCUUCAAGUGCUCUGGGAGUUUUAGACAUUUUUACUUCAACAAGAGGAUUUAUCAAAAUGCAAACGUUAAGUUUGAUUUAAAGUUUGGCAACCAACUGGUUGAAAAAUAAGAAUUAUAUAUGUCUGUUUACAAUGUUAAUAUGCAGGCGCCAAAACAACGGGCAAACUGACGAUAAAGCUCUUAAAACACUUUCAUA